rnacentral:rRNA from 1 species
AUGCCUUACACAUGCAAGUCGAACGGCAGCACGGGAGCUUGCUCCUGGUGGCGAGUGGCGAACGGGUGAGUAAUACAUCGGAACGUACCCUGAAGUGGGGGAUAACGUAGCGAAAGUUACGCUAAUACCGCAUAUUCUGUGAGCAGGAAAGAGGGGGGAUCGCAAGACCUCUUGCUUUAGGAGCGGCCGAUGUCGGAUUAGCUAGUUGGUGAGGUAAAGGCUCACCAAGGCGACGAUCCGUAGCGGGUCUGAGAGGAUGAUCCGCCACACUGGGACUGAGACACGGCCCAGACUCCUACGGGAGGCAGCAGUGGGGAAUUUUUGGACAAUGGGCGGAAGCCUGAUCCAGCCAUGCCGCGUGAGUGAAGAAGGCCUUCGGGUUGUAAAGCUCUUUCGGCCGGGAAGAAAUCGCAUGGGUUAAUACCCUGUGUGGAUGACGGUACCGGCAUAAGAAGCACCGGCUAACUACGUG